rnacentral:tRNA from 1 species
GCCGGGGGUGGCCGAUCGCGAUCGACGGCACGGCCCUGCUGGCGGUCGAGACGGCGGACCCGAUCCGCCUCGCCGCGUUCGAUCCCGAGGCUCAGGCGCC